rnacentral:lncRNA from 1 species
GCUUAACUAGGUCUUUAGGGAGUGUGUGGUCCUGAACUCCUGUACCAGCGACUCCUGGACACCACCAGGCCGAUGCAGUUGGUCUCAGGCUCAAGUCUCACUUCUUCCAGGCGAGCGGUUCUGCCUCAGUGCAUCUCUGUAUAUCUUACGCUGACCAGCACAUCCUUGGAAUGGCUUGAACUUUUCUAUCUGCACCCUGACCAUCGGCAUGACCAUAACAACUUACAAUCUGAAAUUGUUUCACCUUUUGUGGUUCGAACAAGAACCCUGACGCACUUCAGAAUAAUUUUAAAAUCAAUUGCUCUGGAUACUGAAGAAAUGAAGAGUAUGAGAAAAAGAAGCAUCAGUAGAAACCAUCUGCCUGCACCCUUAGAUAUCACAAAUGUGUGGUGAAAAAAAAUAAGACCAACUUGGGCCUGCUUUGAAGAGAGCUCUCUUUGGUUCUUCCAUUUUCCCUUUUAUAUUUAUGGAUAUGUUGUGACCUGGGUCAACCAAAAAAGAGAAAAAUAAAGUGGAGCAGGAAGCCAAAGAUUGAGUCAUACAGAAUUGUAUCUUUACCAGAACUA